rnacentral:rRNA from 1 species
GGGGAAUAUUGCACAAUGGGCGAAAGCCUGAUGCAGCAACGCCGCGUGAGUGAUGAAGGUCUUCGGAUUGUAAAGCUCUGUCUUUUGGGACGAUAAUGACGGUACCAAAGGAGGAAGCCACGGCUAACUACGUGCCAGCAGCCGCGGUAAUACGUAGGUGGCGAGCGUUGUCCGGAUUUACUGGGCGUAAAGGGUGCGUAGGCGGAUGUUUAAGUGAGAUGUGAAAUACCCGGGCUUAACUUGGGUGCUGCAUUUCAAACUGGAUAUCUAGAGUGCAGGAGAGGAGAAUGGAAUUCCUAGUGUAGCGGUGAAAUGCGUAGAGAUUAGGAAGAACACCAGUGGCGAAGGCGAUUCUCUGGACUGUAACUGACGCUGAGGCACGAAAGCGUGGGUAGCAAACAGGAUUAGAUACCCUGGUAGUCCACGCCGUAAACGAUGAGUACUAGGUGUAGGAGGUAUCGACCCCUUCUGUGCCGCAGUAAACA